CACUAUCGUUAACUGAAUACAUAGGUUAACGAGGCGAACCGGGGGAACUGAAACAUCUAAGUACCCCGAGGAAAAGAAAUCAACCGAGAUUCCCCCAGUAGCGGCGAGCGAACGGGGAGCAGCCCAGAGUCUGAAUCAGCUUGUGUGUUAGUGGAACGGUCUGGAAAGUCCGACGGUACAGGGUGAUAGUCCCGUACACCAAAAUGCACAGGCUGUGAACUCGAAGAGUAGGGCGGGACACGUGGUAUCCUGUCUGAAUAUGGGGGGACCAUCCUCCAAGGCUAAAUACUCCUGACUGACCGAUAGUGAACCAGUACCGUGAGGGAAAGGCGAAAAGAACCCCGGCGAGGGGAGUGAAAAAGAACCUGAAACCGUGUACGUACAAGCAGUGGGAGCACCUUCGGGUGUGACUGCGUACCUUUUGUAUAAUGGGUCAGCGACUUAUAUUCUGUAGCAAGGUUAACCGUAUAGGGGAGCCGCAGGGAAACCGAGUCUUAACUGGGCGUUAAGUUGCAGGGUAUAGACCCGAAACCCGGUGAUCUAGCCAUGGGCAGGUUGAAGGUUGGGUAACACUAACUGGAGGACCGAACCGACUAAUGUUGAAAAAUUAGCGGAUGACUUGUGGCUGGGGGUGAAAGGCCAAUCAAACCGGGAGAUAGCUGGUUCUCCCCGAAAGCUAUUUAGGUAGCGCCUCGUGAACUCAUCUUCGGGGGUAGAGCACUGUUUCGGCUAGGGGGUCAUCCCGACUUACCAACCCGAUGCAAACUACGAAUACCGAAGAAUGUUAUCACGGGAGACACACGGCGGGUGCUAACGUCCGUCGUGAAGAGGGAAACAACCCAGACCGCCAGCUAAGGUCCCAAAGUCAUGGUUAAGUGGGAAACGAUGUGGGAAGGCACAGACAGCCAGGAUGUUGGCUUAGAAGCAGCCAUCAUUUAAAGAAAGCGUAAUAGCUCACUGGUCGAGUCGGCCUGCGCGGAAGAUGUAACGGGGCUAAACCAUGCACCGAAGCUGCGGCAGCGACACUAUGUGUUGUUGGGUAGGGGAGCGUUCUGUAAGCCUGCGAAGGUGACCUGUGAGGGUUGCUGGAGGUAUCAGAAGUGCGAAUGCUGACAUAAGUAACGAUAAAGCGGGUGAAAAGCCCGCUCGCCGGAAGACCAAGGGUUCCUGUCCAACGUUAAUCGGGGCAGGGUGAGUCGACCCCUAAGGCGAGGCCGAAAGGCGUAGUCGAUGGGAAACAGGUUAAUAUUCCUGUACUUGGUGUUACUGCGAAGGGGGGACGGAGAAGGCUAUGUUAGCCGGGCGACGGUUGUCCCGGUUUAAGCAUGUAGGCUGGUUGUCCAGGCAAAUCCGGAUAAUCAAGGCUGAGGUGUGAUGACGAGGCACUACGGUGCUGAAGUAACAAAUGCCCUGCUUCCAGGAAAAGCCUCUAAGCAUCAGGUAACAUUAAAUCGUACCCCAAACCGACACAGGUGGUCAGGUAGAGAAUACCAAGGCGCUUGAGAGAACUCGGGUGAAGGAACUAGGCAAAAUGGUGCCGUAACUUCGGGAGAAGGCACGCUGGUGUGUAGGUGAAGUCCCUGCGGAUGGAGCUGAGACCAGUCGAAGAUACCAGCUGGCUGCAACUGUUUAUUAAAAACACAGCACUGUGCAAACACGAAAGUGGACGUAUACGGUGUGACGCCUGCCCGGUGCCGGAAGGUUAAUUGAUGGGGUUAUCCGUAAGGAGAAGCUCUUGAUCGAAGCCCCGGUAAACGGCGGCCGUAACUAUAACGGUCCUAAGGUAGCGAAAUUCCUUGUCGGGUAAGUUCCGACCUGCACGAAUGGCGUAAUGAUGGCCAGGCUGUCUCCACCCGAGACUCAGUGAAAUUGAACUCGCUGUGAAGAUGCAGUGUACCCGCGGCAAGACGGAAAGACCCCGUGAACCUUUACUAUAGCUUGACACUGAACAUUGAGCCUUGAUGUGUAGGAUAGGUGGGAGGCUUUGAAGCGUGGACGCCAGUCUGCGUGGAGCCAACCUUGAAAUACCACCCUUUAAUGUUUGAUGUUCUAACGUUGGCCCCUUACCGGGGUUGCGGACAGUGUCUGGUGGGUAGUUUGACUGGGGCGGUCUCCUCCCAAAGCGUAACGGAGGAGCACGAAGGUUAGCUAAUCCUGGUCGGACAUCAGGAGGUUAGUGCAAUGGCAUAAGCUAGCUUGACUGCGAGCGUGACGGCGCGAGCAGGUGCGAAAGCAGGUCAUAGUGAUCCGGUGGUUCUGAAUGGAAGGGCCAUCGCUCAACGGAUAAAAGGUACUCCGGGGAUAACAGGCUGAUACCGCCCAAGAGUUCAUAUCGACGGCGGUGUUUGGCACCUCGAUGUCGGCUCAUCACAUCCUGGGGCUGAAGUAGGUCCCAAGGGUAUGGCUGUUCGCCAUUUAAAGUGGUACGCGAGCUGGGUUUAGAACGUCGUGAGACAGUUCGGUCCCUAUCUGCCGUGGGCGCUGGAGAAUUGAGGGGGGCUGCUCCUAGUACGAGAGGACCGGAGUGGACGCAUCACUGGUGUUCGGGUUGUCAUGCCAAUGGCACUGCCCGGUAGCUAAAUGCGGAAGAGAUAAGUGCUGAAAGCAUCUAAGCACGAAACUUGCCCCGAGAUGAGUUCUCCCUGAGACUUUAAGUCUCCUGAAGGAACGUUNGACGUUGAUAGGCCGGGUGUGUAAGCGCAGCGAUGCGUUGAGCUAACCGGUACUAAUGAACCGUGAGGCUUAACCUU
rnacentral:rRNA from 1 species